rnacentral:rRNA from 1 species
UUAAAAUCUACCUGGUUUYCAGGUCGAGUUGUAAUUUGAAGAUACGUUUUUGACGUUCCGGGUUGAACUAAAUCCUUUGGGAUAAGGUAUCAUGGAGGGUGAGAAUCCCGUAUAUACCAACCRYAGGGAUGUUAUUUAAUACGUUUCUAAGAGUCGAGUUGUUUGGGAAUGCAGCUCUAAAUGGGUGGUAAAUUUCACCUAAUGCUAAAUAUAAGCGAGAGACCGAUAGYGAACAAGUACAGUGAUGGAAAGAUGAAAAGAACUUUGAAAAGAGAGUUAAAUAGUACGUGAAAUUGUUGAAAGGGAAACGAUUGAAGUCAGUCAUGCCAGUGGGAAUCAACUUWGAGGAAACUCUGAGUGCACUUCUUCGCUUGGCAGGUCAACGUCGAUUUUGGAUGUCAUAAAAUGAUCGGGGGAAGGUAGCYCYUUCGGGAGUGUUAUAGCCCUUGGUAGAUGUGAUGUCUGGGAUCGAGGAUUGCAAUGGAUACCCUUUGGGGCUAGCCVCCUGAUCUCUAAUCGGUAUUGGGUUACGGAUAGCAUGCUGACC